CACGUAGGGGGCAAGCGUUGUUCGGAAUUACUGGGCGUAAAGGGCAUGUAGGCGGUUUUGUAAGCCUGACGUGAAAGGCUAUGGCUUAACCAUGGCACUGCGUUGGGAACUGCGAGACUUGAAUCACGGAGGGGGAGCUGGAAUUCCAGGUGUAGGGGUGAAAUCUGUAGAUAUCUGGAAGAACACCAGUGGCGAAGGCGAGCUCCUGGCCGAUGAUUGACGCUGAGGUGCGAAAGUGUGGGGAUCAAACAGGAUUAGAGACCCUGGUAGUCCACACUGUCAACGAUGUGCACUAGGUGCUGGGGCGGACGCUUCAGUGCCGGAGCUAACGCGGUAAGUGCACCGCCUGGGGAGUAUGCUCGCAAGGGUGAA
rnacentral:rRNA from 1 species